rnacentral:rRNA from 1 species
UGAGCUCGAUGAGUAGGGCGGGACACGUGGUAUCCUGUCUGAAUAUGGGGGGACCAUCCUCCAAGGCUAAAUACUCCUGACUGACCGAUAGUGAACCAGUACCGUGAGGGAAAGGCGAAAAGAACCCCGGCGAGGGGAGUGAAAAAGAACCUGAAACCGUGUACGUACAAGCAGUGGGAGCACAGAGCAAUCUGUGUGACUGCGUACCUUUUGUAUAAUGGGUCAGCGACUUAUAUUCUGUAGCAAGGUUAACCGAAUAGGGGAGCCGAAGGGAAACCGAGUCUUAACUGGGCGUUAAGUUGCAGGGUAUAGACCCGAAACCCGGUGAUCUAGCCAUGGGCAGGUUGAAGGUUGGGUAACACUAACUGGAGGACCGAACCGACUAAUGUUGAAAAAUUAGCGGAUGACUUGUGGCUGGGGGUGAAAGGCCAAUCAAACCGGGAGAUAGCUGGUUCUCCCCGAAAGCUAUUUAGGUAGCGCCUCGUGAAUUCAUCUCCGGGGGUAGAGCACUGUUUCGGCAAGGGGGUCAUCCCGACUUACCAACCCGAUGCAAACUGCGAAUACCGGAGAAUGUUAUCACGGGAGACACACGGCGGGUGCUAACGUCCGUCGUGAAGAGGGAAACAACCCAGACCGCCAGCUAAGGUCCCAAAGUCAUGGUUAAGUGGGAAACGAUGUGGGAAGGCCCAGACAGCCAGGAUGUUGGCUUAGAAGCAGCCAUCAUUUAAAGAAAGCGUAAUAGCUCACUGGUCGAGUCGGCCUGCGCGGAAGAUGUAACGGGGCUAAACCAUGCACCGAAGCUGCGGCAGCGACACUGUGUGUUGUUGGGUAGGGGAGCGUUCUGUAAGCCUGUGAAGGUGUGCUGUGAGGCAUGCUGGAGGUAUCAGAAGUGCGAAUGCUGACAUAAGUAACGAUAAAGCGGGUGAAAAGCCCGCUCGCCGGAAGACCAAGGGUUCCUGUCCAACGUUAAUCGGGGCAGGGUGAGUCGACCCCUAAGGCGAGGCCGAAAGGCGUAGUCGAUGGGAAACAGGUUAAUAUUCCUGUACUUGGUGUUACUGCGAAGGGGGGACGGAGAAGGCUAUGUUGGCCGGGCGACGGUUGUCCCGGUUUAAGCGUGUAGGCUGGUUUUCCAGGCAAAUCCGGAAAAUCAAGGCUGAGGCGUGAUGACGAGGCACUACGGUGCUGAAGCAACAAAUGCCCUGCUUCCAGGAAAAGCCUCUAAGCAUCAGGUAACAUCAAAUCGUACCCCAAACCGACACAGGUGGUCAGGUAGAGAAUACCAAGGCGCUUGAGAGAACUCGGGUGAAGGAACUAGGCAAAAUGGUGCCGUAACUUCGGGAGAAGGCACGCUGAUAUGUAGGUGAAGUCCCUCGCGGAUGGAGCUGAAAUCAGUCGAAGAUACCAGCUGGCUGCAACUGUUUAUUAAAAACACAGCACUGUGCAAACACGAAAGUGGACGUAUACGGUGUGACGCCUGCCCGGUGCCGGAAGGUUAAUUGAUGGGGUCAGCGCAAGCGAAGCUCUUGAUCGAAGCCCCGGUAAACGGCGGCCGUAACUAUAACGGUCCUAAGGUAGCGAAAUUCCUUGUCGGGUAAGUUCCGACCUGCACGAAUGGCGUAAUGAUGGCCAGGCUGUCUCCACCCGAGACUCAGUGAAAUUGAACUCGCUGUGAAGAUGCAGUGUACCCGCGGCAAGACGGAAAGACCCCGUGAACCUUUACUAUAGCUUGACACUGAACAUUGAGCCUUGAUGUGUAGGAUAGGUGGGAGGCUUUGAAGUGUGGACGCCAGUCUGCAUGGAGCCGACCUUGAAAUACCACCCUUUAAUGUUUGAUGUUCUAACGUGGACCCGUGAUCCGGGUUGCGGACAGUGUCUGGUGGGUAGUUUGACUGGGGCGGUCUCCUCCUAAAGAGUAACGGAGGAGCACGAAGGUUGGCUAAUCCUGGUCGGACAUCAGGAGGUUAGUGCAAUGGCAUAAGCCAGCUUGACUGCGAGCGUGACGGCGCGAGCAGGUGCGAAAGCAGGUCAUAGUGAUCCGGUGGUUCUGAAUGGAAGGGCCAUCGCUCAACGGAUAAAAGGUACUCCGGGGAUAACAGGCUGAUACCGCCCAAGAGUUCAUAUCGACGGCGGUGUUUGGCACCUCGAUGUCGGCUCAUCACAUCCUGGGGCUGAAGUAGGUCCCAAGGGUAUGGCUGUUCGCCAUUUAAAGUGGUACGCGAGCUGGGUUUAGAACGUCGUGAGACAGUUCGGUCCCUAUCUGCCGUGGGCGCUGGAGAACUGAGGGGGGCUGCUCCUAGUACGAGAGGACCGGAGUGGACGCAUCACUGGUGUUCGGGUUGUCAUGCCAAUGGCACUGCCCGGUAGCUAAAUGCGGAAGAGAUAAGUGCUGAAAGCAUCUAAGCACGAAACUUGCCCCGAGAUGAGUUCUCCCUGACCCUUUAAGGGUCCUGAAGGAACGUUGAAGACGACGACGUUGAUAGGCCGGGUGUGUAAGCGCAGCGAUGCGUUGAGCUAACCGGUACUAAUGAACCGUGAGGCUUAACCUUACAACGCCGAAGGUGUUU